UACAGAGGUCCCAAGCGUUGUUCGGAUUCAUUGGGCGUAAAGGGUGCGUAGGCGGCGCGGUAAGUCGGGUGUGAAAUCUCGGAGCUUAACUCCGAAACUGCAUUCGAUACUGCCGUGCUUGAGGACUGGAGAGGAGACUGGAAUUUACGGUGUAGCGGUGAAAUGCGCAGAUAUCGUAAGGAAGACCAGUGGCGAAGGCGGGUCUCUGGACAGUUCCUGACGCUGAGGCACGAAGGCCAGGGGAGCAAACGGG
rnacentral:rRNA from 1 species